AUGGAUCCAGAUCCGAUGAGUGACGUCGCAUUAGGAACCGAGAAACAGCCGAGCAUGGUGGCUGGGGAAACCAGCAGCACGGUCGCCGGUGGAGGGAUGGACGCAGAUGGUGGCAGGGCUGUCGUACGUAUCAUUCAGCAGGAGCAGAACACGGGCGCAGAAGAUGGCCUAGAGAAAAUUCCACUCGAGAGGGUGAUAGUUGAUAAUGAAGUUGCUGAUGCUCCCAUUCCUAGUUGCUUUUAUCAACCAUCAGCAGUAGUGCCCAAAUUAGGGCAAUUAUUCAAGGAAGACACAGAUGGGUUUGCAUUUUAUAAUCUUUAUGCUCGAUUCCAUGGUUUCGGUAUUAGGCGUCACAAGAAAAGAGAUAGGAAUGGAGGUGUGAAAAGCAUGCAAGAGUUCUGCUGUGUACGCCAGGUGCGUGUGUAA
rnacentral:rRNA from 1 species